GACAGAGGGUGCAACCGUUGCUCGGAAUCACUGGGCGUAAAGGGCGUGUAGGCGGGAAGUAAAGUCAGAUGUGAAAUCCCUGGGCUCAACCCAGGAACUGCAUUUGAAACUCACUUUCUUGAGUACCGGAGAGGAAGGUGGAAUACCUGGUGUAGAGGUGAAAUUCGUAGAUAUCAGGUGGAACACCAGUGGCGAAGGCGGCCUUCUGGACGGUAACUGACGCUGAGACGCGAAAGCGUGGGGAGCAAACAGG
rnacentral:rRNA from 1 species